rnacentral:rRNA from 1 species
GACGUGACUUCAGAGUUUGAUCCUGGCUCAGGAUGAAUGCUGGCGGCGUGCCUAAUACAUGCAAGUCGAGCGGUAACAGGGUUUCACCGCUUCCUUGACACACCUAGCGCAUUAUCGUAGGUGGUGAGACUUCGAGGGAACAGUGAAACUGCUGACGAGCGGCGGACGGCUGAGUAACGCGUGGGAACGUACCCCAAACUGAGGGAUAACGCACCGAAAGGUGUGCUAAUACCGCAUAUGAUCUUCGGAUUAAAGCUUUCGGGCGGUUUGGGAAUGGCCUGCGUACGAUUAGAUAGUUGGUAGGGUAACGGCCUACCAAGUCGACGAUCGUUAGAUGGUUUGAGAAGAUGAUCAUCCAGACUGGGACUGAGACACGGCCCAG